AGGAAAAUAAAUAAAAAAAAACAAUUGAAUCUUCCUGUCAGAACCUCUAAUCUCACGAACCCUCAAUAUUGUCCAUAGAAACUCAAAAUCUCAACCUCACCACACGGAAACCUCAAUCUCACCUAUCAAAUCUCUACUAGCUAUCAAACCCUCACGAAGAAUCUGACCUAUAGAAAAUCUUAAUCGAACCCUCAAUCUCUCAGAAUCCUGAAUCGAACCUUCAGUUUCAAACUCUCACGUUCAAUCACCCUCACCUCACUUAAAUCUCAAUCAAAGAGUAAUUUGUGCUAGUAUAUGUUCAAGACGUGGUCAAAUUUAGGCGAUUCUAGCUUUAAAGUUGAGAAAAUUUCUGGAAGCAUACCAAAUUUGCUGUUAGAUUAACCACCACAUAUGAAACUAAAUGUGUCAAUCAAACCACACAAUCUGUAUCUGACACUGAAUGUGGAAGCCUUCUGAAGAAGCCUUUCAAAGUGUAUGCGGAAAAGAAAAACCUGGGAGACAUCGUUUCCACGGAAGAACUACAAUCCCGACUCUCGAAGAGAAAUGAAGAAAUUGCAAGACUUAGAAAUGAACAUAAUGAUGAGGUAAAAACAGUUAAAAGGAUCAGAUACAAGAGAUGGAGGAGAAACAGCGUAAUAAAACAGAAGCAAUGGAAGGAAAUUAAAUUUCAGAUUCUUCUUAAGGUCAUGUUGAGUCAAAACACCACUGGGUUGGAUACAGAGGCUUUGGCAGAUUUGAUAACAACUCCUGCAACUGAUGCUAACAAUUCUUUGCGUUCUUCUAUGUCAACAUUUACUCCAGAUGAUAAUGAGAUGAGUAAUGAUGAUAUCGAUGAAGAGUUUGAAAAUUUGGAAGAACACAAUUUUUUUUUGAAGAUGAAGAGAUAUAGAUGUGUGUGUGUAUUUUUAAAGAUGUUAAUUGUGACUAAAGAUAAUCUUAAUCUAUUCAUUAAAGAUUAACAAAAGAAUAUAUUUUGAUAUAUAUUUCACUAGUAAUUGAUUUUGUUA